CUGCUCAGUUUCAUCGCAUUUCUGUGACAGAAAGCCCAAACGUGGGUAAACGGUGCCCAGAAACCAGCAGACACGACAGUCCAAGCACAGCACAGCGGCGUCUGGGGGUCGCAGGAGCCGGAGGACACCAGGAGAAGGCCACUCAUCCAGAGGCCUCCAGCCUCACCCCCCUGCACCCAGCCCUCCCUGCCAAGGCAAUAAACCAGCCCCAAUGUCCUCGCCCACCAGGAAACACGGGGUCAUGCUCCCAUCCCCACCAGUGUCGUCCACCCGCCCAGGCUCUUUCUGGAGCCAGUCGUCCUGUGUGGAUAGAGGGACUGGCACGGGACACCCACAUCUGUCCUCUCCUCGCCGUCCCCUGUGGCUCAAAGGAGAAACCCAGGCCAAAUCAACCCAAAAUCCAAAGCAGCUGGAGGAAACAUCAACCCAACUGCCCUGGUAGAGCCCGUAUCUCUGUCCACCGCUUCUUUUAUAAUUCUGCUUUUGUUCUUCUGGCUAUCUGCUUCCUGCGACCUCGUCAGCCCCCCAAGCACCCUUCUUUUUCCAAAGGAGAAGGCUCUUGAAAGGCUUCCAGUAGGGUCAGGCAUUUUUGCCCUCAGCCCUGGGAGAAGGCCCCAGGGGACCCCCGUCACAGCACUGCCCGCAGCAGGGACCCGGUGCCCUUAUCCAAAGCCCCAACCUGGUGUGCUUGGACCCCACGCCUUAUGCCGAGCGGAGCCGACUGGGAAGAGCAGAUCUGGGAGGGAUUUGUCUUCUUCUGGGCCAUCGUUGAAGGUUUUGGUGCCUGUUGGCCAAUGGGGCCACCUGUGGUGCAUGCAGGGCUGAGAGGAGCCAGCUCUUCCCAGAGCAUCUCCCCUUCCUGCAGUCCUGCCAGGGUGCUGGGCUCCCACGAAGCAUCCCCUUGGGACAGAGGAGACCACAGUCCCGUCCUGGUACCACCUUCCCCACCCAUGUCACUGACCUCAGCCAGGAGCUCCGACCAUGCUGGCAACCCACGGGGACCCCAAUGGAAAACACCCAAAUCACCGAGGCCGACGGCGGGGCGGAGGUGGCUCCUGGCUCUCUGACCCCAGAAGACCAUUUCGUCCCUUCCUCAUCCCAUCUCCACCCUCUCCUCCAAAGCAGGGUAGGGUCGCGUGCCUUGUUUUUGGCCGUAACCCCCGACGUGAAGCACCUCCGCCCCCCGCUGACUCCCCGUGCGCACCGAGCACGGGAUCCCCAAAAAUUGCCUGCGAGAAACAACCACGUCCUGGGGACAAGCUCCCACCAUGGGUUACCUCCACCCCGGGGAGGCUGGGACACGCAGAAACGGGGGCACAAGGAGCGAGGGGUGCCCCGACCAGCAAAAAAAAAACACCCAGCAAAGCUACAGCCCCCAGCCCCGUGUGCCGCUGUUGUCACCAUCCCAUGAGCGUGGUGGCCCUGGUGGGGACGUCCCCAUUGGGAACAGCGCAGAGACUUGUGAAAUUCCCUUCAAAGAAACAAAGAGAGGAGAAAAGCCCCGCAUUGGCUCCAUCCAAGGAGGAUUUAAAUUUAUCGAGCAAGGCGGAUGGCAAGGGAAAAAUAUCCCAAAUGUCACCAGGGGUCACAGCCAUGGCUGCUGCCCAAAGGGCAAGGCCAGGUCUUACACAGCCGAAAGGCUCUGAAUUGGGUUAAAACAAACAAAAAACAAGCAAAAUACAUGAAAAAUGUUGAUGAAGGCUCUUAGGCUCUUCUCAAAGCAGACAACGAGCGGUUUCCCUCGGCUCUAAGAGGAGCCGCGACGAAGCCGGCCCCUGCUGGGAGCUGGCACAUGGCUCCAGCCUCUCGUUUUGGGUUGAAAACCUGCAGGUUCGGGUGGAGCAGCAGCGUUUGGGAAUUGGUGCCAAAUGACAACAUGCUUUAAAAAUAAAAAAUAAAAUAAAAACGGGGAGCAGGGUGAUUUUAGCAGCUGGAAAGGGUUCGUUGCAACCAAAGCGUGGCAGGGCGAGCGGGGCGAUGCUCGUCCGGCCCCGCCAGCGGGAGGAGAAGCUGCUGCAAACCCCUCCCUGCCGCACAGCAGCAAGGAGAGGGGAAAA